rnacentral:tRNA from 6 species
GCCCCAGUAGCUCAGUGGAUAGAGCAACGGCCUUCUAAUCCGUCGGUCGCAGGUUCGAAUCCUGCCUGGGGCACCC